AUAGGGAAUUUAGUUUAUGGACCUUUCAUUAAUUCCGAUUUCUUCUCUUUCAAUGCAGGAUUACAAGGUACGAUUUGACUCUUUUCUGUUUCUACUUAAUCAAUUAAUCCUUUAUGAAAAUGGAGUGGUUCAACUGCUGCUCAAUUGUGUUACUUUUCUUGAUCAAUAUAUGUAUCAUCUUCGUCUAAUAAAGGUUUGAGUUAAACUAUUGCAAAAAUACUCCUUUUGUUUUAUCCAGAUCAUCAUUUAUUUCUCACAACUCAUAAGAUCAGCAAUAUGAGUCAUGAGGUGAGCUUUGUUUCAGGGCAAGUGAUAACAACCUCUUCUUAAGUGUCUAAUAGAUUUUGGAUCAGAAUGAGAAUAUAUCUACGUGUACACCCACGUAUACAUCAUUUCUGGUGCAAAAUCAAUUACUGUUUUGUUUAGCCACCCAAACCUCUAUAUUGCUUAUGAAUUUUUCUGUAUGUAGUUCUUGAGGGAAAGUUCAAGGUUGUAUCUACUUGUGAAAGAAUUAGAAGUUAUAUGAUCAAAUUUGUCUCUCUAAUAUGUUGUAUCUUGGGUUUAAGUUUCCUAUUUAUUUAUUUCAGAAUUUCAAGAUUCUCAGAGCAAAUCCUUGCCAACUCUUUCGGAGGUUCAGUAUUGUAAUGGCUUCUUCAUUGGAGGUAGCUUGUGAAGAACAGAAGUGUCAGAAUCUUAGAGUUCAAGAUUCAAUGGACAUAUUUAGUUGUAGCAGUUCAAGCUCAGAAGUAAGGUCAUCACCUUUAUUCGACAGACCACCUGAUAAAAAGUUCCACAAAUAUGGUAAUUCACAGCUUGGUUCUCGAGUUAUUCCACUCUUUGAGGACUACAAUGACAACAUGGAUAUACCUGAUGAAAACAUCAACGAGGAUGCACCCUUGAGUCAUAGAGAGUACGAGAAUUUCUGUUCCGUAUGCAAAAAACUUCUUCAGAUUAAAAAUCAACAAUCCAGUUUAUUGGAUCUUCUCCAGGAAUUUAAUGGCAGCUCGCAAAGAAAAGAGAGAAUAGCCCGAGAUGAUGAAACUGCAAGUUUUUGUCAUGUCAGUAGGCUUAACGGGGCUUCAUUCGCUAAUUGCAUACAAUAACAAACUUGAGCCUUAGGUAAAGUUGAUGGACCAGAUUUAAAGAGUUUUGUUCAACAAUUUUCAGAUGCUUCAAAAGGUAUAUGCUGAUAUCUCAUUGGAUAACUUAAAAGAUCUCGAGGAAGAAGUACAAGUCACUGAUGGUGUUAGAAGUAGAAAAAAAAAGACACCUGAUAAUCAUAGAUGACAAAGAAUUAAGUGUUGAAGAUGCAAAUUAGUUUAAGAAAUAGAGCGAUUAUUGUUGC